rnacentral:rRNA from 1 species
GGUUAGCCGCGAAUGGCUCAUUACAACAGCCAUAGUUUAUUGGAUCUUAACGUCCUACUUGGAUAACUGUAGUAAUUCUAGAGCUAAUACACGCAAAUUAUCCCUAACCUUACGGAAAGGGAGCAUUUAUUAGAACAAAACCAAUCGGCUUCGGCCGUUAUUGGUGAAUCUGAAUAACUACGCUGAUCGCACGGUCUCGUACCGGCGACGUAUCCUUCAAGUGUCUGCCUUAUCAACUGUCGAUGGUAGUUUACAUGACUACCAUGGUUGUAACGGGUAACGGAGAAUAAGGGUUCGACUCCGGAGAGGGAGCCUGAGAAACGGCUACCACAUCCAAGGAAGGCAGCAGGCGCGCAAAUUACCCACUCUCAGAACGAGGAGGUAGUGACGAAAAAUAACGAGACAGUCCUCUAUGAGGUCUGUCAUCGGAAUGGGUACAAUUUAAAUCCUUUAACGAGGAUCUAUUGGAGGGCAAGUCUGGUGCCAGCAGCCGCGGUAAUUCCAGCUCCAAUAGCGUAUAUUAAAGUUGUUGCGGUUAAAAAGCUCGUAGUUGGAUCUGCGGUCGUCGACACUGGUUCUCUUCUUGAGAUACUAGCUGUCGCGACCUACCUUGUUAGAUGUCUCUUGGUGCUCUUCACUGAGUGUCUUGAGCGUCUAGCUCGUUUACUUUGAAAAAAUUAGAGUGCUUAACGCAGGCAUUAGCCUGAAUAGUGGUGCAUGGAAUAAUGGAAUAGGACCUCGGUUCUAUUUUGUUGGUUUUCGGAGCAUGAGGUAAUGAUUAAGAGGGACAGACGGGGGCAUUCGUACUGCUACGUUAGAGGUGAAAUUCUUGGAUCGUAGCAUGACGAACAACUGCGAAAGCAUUGC